CGGCGUGCUUAACACAUGCAAGUCGAGCGGUAAGGCCCCUUCGGGGGUACACGAGCGGCGAACGGGUGAGUAACACGUGAGCAACCUACCCUCAACUUUGGGAUAAGCCUCGGAAACGGGGUCUAAUACCGGAUAAUACUAUGGGCCUCAUGGUUUGUGGUUGAAAGUUCUGGCGGUUGGGGAUGGGCUCGCGGCCUAUCAGCUUGUUGGUGGGGUAGUGGCCUACCAAGGCGUCGACGGGUAGCCGGCCUGAGAGGGCGACCGGCCACACUGGGACUGAGACACGGCCCAGACUCCUACGGAGGCAGCAGUGGGGAAUAUUGCGCAAUGGACGAAAGUCUGACGCAGCCAACGCCGCGUGAGGGAUGACGGCCUUCGGGUUGUAAACCUCUUUCAGCAGGGACGAAGCGAGAGUGACGGUACCUGCAGAAGAAGGACCGGCCAACUACGUGCCAGCAGCCGCGGUAAUACGUAGGGUCCGAGCGUUGUCCGGAAUUAUUGGGCGUAAAGGGCUCGUAGGCGGUUCGUCACGUCGGGAGUGAAAACUCGGGGCUCAACCCCGAGCCUGCUUCCGAUACGGGCAGACUAGAGGUAGGCAGGGGAGAGCGGAACUCCUGGUGUAGCGGUGGAAUGCGCAGAUAUCAGGAAGAACACCGGUGGCGAAGGCGGCUCUCUGGGCCUUACCUGACGCUGAGGAGCGAAAGCGUGGGUAGCGAACAGGAUUAAUACCCUGGUAGUCCACGCCGUAAACGUUGGGCGCUAGGUGUGGAGGGACAUUCCACGUCCUCCGUGCCGCAGCUAACGCAUUAAGCGCCCCGCCUGGGGAGUACGGCCGCAAGGCUAAACUCAAAGGAAUUGACGGGGGCCCGCACAAGCGGCGGAGCAUGCGGAUUAAUUCGAUGCAACGCGAAAGAACCUUACUGGGUUUGACAUAUAGGGAAAUCCUCCAGAGAUGGGGGUCCGUAAGGGUCCUAUACAGUGGUGGUGCAUGGCUGUCGUCAGCUCGUGUCGUGAGAUGUUGGGUUAAGUCCCGCAACGAGCGCAACCCUCGUCCUAUGUUGCCAGCACGCCCUUCGGGGUGGUGGGGACUCAUAGGAGACUGCCGGGGUCAACUCGGAGGAAGGUGGGGAUGACGUCAAGUCAUCAUGCCCCUUAUGUCCAGGGCUUCACGCAUGCUACAAUGGCCGGUACAAAGGGCUGCGAAACUGUAAGGUGGAGCGAAUCCCAAAAAGCCGGUCUCAGUUCGGAUUGGGGUCUGCAACUCGACCCCAUGAAGUCGGAGUCGCUAGUAAUCGCAGAUCAGCAACGCUGCGUGAAUACGUUCCCGGGCCCUUGUACACACCGCCCGUCACGUCAUGAAAGUCGGCAACACCCGAAGCCGGUGGCCUAACCCUUGUGGAGGGAGCCGUCGAAGGUGGGGCUGGCGAUUAGGACGAAGUCGUAACAAGGAGCCGACCCGAACA
rnacentral:rRNA from 1 species